rnacentral:rRNA from 2 species
UGUUUCGGCUAGGGGGCCAUCCCGGCUUACCAACCCGAUGCAAACUGCGAAUACCGGAGAAUGUUAUCACGGGAGACACACGGCGGGUGCUAACGUCCGUCGUGAAGAGGGAAACAACCCAGACCGCCAGCUAAGGUCCCAAAGUCAUGGUUAAGUGGGAAACGAUGUGGGAAGGCCCAGACAGCCAGGAUGUUGGCUUAGAAGCAGCCAUCAUUUAAAGAAAGCGUAAUAGCUCACUGGUCGAGUCGGCCUGCGCGGAAGAUGUAACGGGGCUAAACCAUGCACCGAAGCUGCGGCAGCGAACGUAUCACCCAAGACAACUUUACGGAGUUAACGAUUGACGGAGCGAAGCGACGUCAAAGCGUUCAUUAAAGUCGAGUUGGCUUAGGGAUACGUU